UAAUUAAAAAUGAACCAGAUACCUAUGCAAUAUUUUAAUUUAGCGGAGGAGAAUUAUUCUAAGUAUGGGUUAUCAGUAAUCCAACUUAUCCAGAUUGGUAAGUUCUAUGAACUUUGGCAUGAGCCCGAUACUUCUAGUAAGCACCGAGUAUGCUCUCAAGCCGAGUUAUUAGUUGAGUCAUCGACACGAAGUAGGCCUUUAGAGGUAACAUCCCCCAUUGAACAAGUUGCUUCGUUACUUGAUAUGAGAAUAAUAUCACCCAGUAAAAGAUCUUUGCUUCAAAUGGGAUUUCCAAUCUAUUCCCUUACUACCCAUUUAACCACUUUGUUGGAUAAAGGUUGGACUGUUGUAGUUAUUGAUGAAUUAGUCACUGGUAAAUCCGGGCCAAAACAACGCGCAGUAUCUCAAGUUUAUUCUCCUAGUUGCAAUUCAGAAGAUUGUUCGGAAUUAUCCUAUGUGUUAUCAAUUUAUUUUUCUCAAGACAACUUACUAGGUAUUACUUUAUUUUCAGCCAUGAAUGGGCAUAGUAUAAUGUUUCCUGUCUCUUGAACGGACAGGGACAAAGUAACCCGGUUAUUAGUCAGUUAUCGUAUUAGAGAAAUAGUAAUUUGGGUGGACUCGGGGGUAGGUUUAAAUGUUUUAAUAAAUAAGAUAUAUAAUUUAUUAAUUGGUUGGAAUUUAUUCCCCUCUGAACCUAAUGCUAAAAUUGAAGUUAUGGGGGAAGUACUAACCAAUUUACCGUGUUAUUUAUCUUAUAGGUACGAAAAUAAUAAUAAGGAGUGGCUUUUGCUUCAUAUUUAUAUAGGCACUAACGCAGAGUGGUUGAACAAAAAUUAUCAAAAAUAUACCCUUAGUAAGAUAUUUCAAAGUACUUGGACAGAAAAUGUUGAUCAGGCAAAUUUAAUUAGUCUUUUAGGAGUAUUACAAUUUAUUAAAGAUCGAAACCCUAAUCUUAUUAAGAAUCUUCAACUUCCUGAGUGUUAUAAUUCUGUUGUCAGUCCCUUAAAUUUAAUAUUAUGUAAUCGAGCAGAAUAUCAAUUGGACUUAUUACCUAAGAGGGGGAAGUUGGGUGGUUUACUUAAUCUGGUUGAUUAUUGUUCUACUGCAAUGGGUAAAAGACUUUUCAAAUUUAGACUUCUUAACCCUAUUACAGAUUAUUCUGAAUUAAAUCUUCGUUAUAAGGAGAUUGCUAUAUUUAAACAAUUACUUGACAGGAAAAUAUUUGACAAUUUCGAGUUAAAACACAUUAAAGAUUUAUCUUCUUUACAUCGUCAAUGGGCAAUAUGUGCCUCAAGUGAUACUACCUUGUCCCCUAAAAAGUUAAGUCAAAUUUACCACUCUUAUUUGUUUGCUAAUCAGUUAAUAAGUAAAUUGAUAAAUAAUAAAUGAAUUAACAUUCAAUUACCUCCUUUAAUCGGACCCCAACUAGAAUCGUUAAUUGAAGAAAUAGGUCAAGUUUUUCAAGUAAAUAAUCUUUUAGGUGAUUUCAAAGAUGUAUUACAGCCAACUGAUAAUCUAACUAACUUACUUGCGCAACAACAAACUUUAAGGGCCCAACUUACAGAGUGGGCCGAACAAAUUUCAAAUAUUGUGUUUCAAGACACAAUUUCUAUUAAAGCCGAAUAUUUUAAUAAAGAGGGUUAUGCUUUUUCUAUUUUAUCUAAAAAGUUAACUAAGUUAGAACAUUACAUGACUAAUGCUUCUAUAUCUAAUAAUUCAAUUAUUGUAUUGGGUAAAAGAGGAAGCCACCAUAUAAUUACUAGUCCUACUAUUCAUAAAGUAUCAAUCGAAUUAAAUUUAUUAGAAGAGCAAAUUAAUACUUACGUUAAACAAACUUAUAACCAGGAACUUAAAAGAUUAUAUUUUAGUUAUUCUGAACUUUUUUCGCCCUUAGUAAAUAUGAUUUCUAAAUUAGAUGUUGCAUUAAGCGGGGCUAUUGCGGCUAUUAAAUUCAAUUAUACUAAACCUUGCUUAACACUAGCGAAACCCCAACAAACCAAAGGUUUUAUAGAAGCAAUUAACUUACGACACCCAUUAGUAGAACAAUUAAACACUCAAGAAGAAUGUGUAGCUCAUAAUAUUAGUUUAGAGGAUAAGGGAAUGUUAAUAUUCUCAGUAAAUGGUGCAGGUAAAUCUACUCUACUUAGAGCAAUCGGAAUCAACGUAAUCUUAGCUCAAGCAGGAAUGUAUGUAGCUGCAGAUUCAUUUAAAUUAAGGCCUUAUAAUUAUUUAAUUACUCGUAUUUUAGGGGGAGACGAUCUUCAUAAAGGCCAAGGUACUUUUGAGGUCGAAAUGAGAGAUCUUUCAACUAUAUUAAAGUUAGGUAAUUAUAACAGUUUAAUAUUAGGUGACGAAAUUUGUCAUGGAACAGAAGUUAGUUCAGGAACAGCGAUAUUGGCUGCAACAAUUGAAAGAUUAACAACUGCACAAACUAGUUUUGUUCUUUCUACUCAUUUACAUCGAGUUUGUUCUUUAAUUGAUUCGCCAGUUCGGUGCUAUCAUUUAUCUGUUAUUCAACAAGAAGAUUCGGGCCUAAUUUAUGAACGUAAAUUGAAACCUGGCCCAGGGCCCUCUCAAUAUGGCAUUGAAGUUAUGGGUCACAUAAUUAAUGAUAAAAAAUUUUAUAACAGUGCUUUGAAAUACCGUAAACUUAUUAACUGGGAGCUACCAUCCCGAAAUGAGUUUAGCCCUUUAACAGUAUUCCGCCCUUCUAAAUAUAAUGCUCAAGUUUUUAUUGAUUCGUGUGAAAUAUGCGGAGCUCCAGCAGAAGCUAUUCACCACAUUCAACCUAAGAGUGAAUUUAAAAAUCAACCUGAGAGAUUAUGUAAUAAAAAAUUAAAUCGAAAAUCUAACUUGGUGCCAGUUUGUUCAAGCUGCCAUUUAAAUAUUCACAGAAAUAAAAUCUCUAUUUUAGGUUGGAAGAGAACCCCAGGACAUAAGAAAUUAUAUUGGGUUUAUCUUAAUGAAUCUUUAGACAGUGGAACUGAGUAAAGUCUAGGGUCUAUCGGUAAGGACGUGAAAUACGAAAUAACAAGGGAGAGACUUUGAACUUGUUUGUCCUAACUGAAAAGGGUGAAUUGAAUAGUUAAUUGAAACAUCUUACUAGACUAUGAGGAAUACAUCAACUGAGAUUCCGUGCGUAGCGGCGAGCGAUAGCGGAGGAAUUGUCUCAAAUAGAUAAUUAAGAUGAUUGGACAUCUAGACUAAACCCCGAUAGACACCUAUAGAGAAAGUACCGUGAGGGAAAGACUUAGAAUUGGUUCUAAAAGUUACCUUUUGCAUAAUGGGCCUGCAAGACAAAAUUUGGCAAGCUUAAGUAGUAAAUGAAGGCGUAGUGAAAGCAAGAGAAAACUCGUCAGUCAAAUUACCCGAAACCAAGUGAUCUAACCAUGGCCAGGUAGCUAUGCUGACCGAACCAGUGAUUGUGGCAAAAAUCUUGGAUGAGCUGUGGUUAGCGGUGAAAUACUAGUCGAACUUGGAUAUAGCUGGUUCUCUACGAAACUUAUCUUAGUAAGGCGCCCCAAGUUGAUUCGCCCCCAAACCCGGGGGCUUGAAUUACUGGUGUAGUAAGACUAUGGCGAUAAGGCCUCUAGUCAAAAGGGGUAAGCCCUAACCAGAAAUUAAAGUCACUAAUACAGAUUAAGUGUAUAAAGAGGGUUCAACUUAGACAAACAGGAAGUAGGCUUGGAAACAGCCAUCUGCACAGGAAAACGUAAAAGUUCACUGAAUGAGCUAGGAAACUCUAAGAAUUAAGGCGGCUAAAUCUGUAACUGAAAUUCUGGAAGCCAGACGGCAACUGUAAGGAAGCCAUAUUGCAAGGAAAUAUCAACUGGCUUGGUAGUAGAGCGUUCUGUAGGCACGACACGUGCACACCUCGUGAGAUAAAACAGAAGUGAUAAUGCAGGCAUGAGUAGUACAAGAUUUACUCCCAAAUAAAUAGAUAUAUACAGCUUCUAAGGGCAUUACGCCCGAUGGAUUAUAAUUCUUGUUCUUAUUCAGGAAAAAUAUUAUGGUACAAAGUACCUUCAACUGUUAUUUAUGGGACUUAUAUCUAGGCAUAAUUUUUCUUAAGGAACUCGGCAAAAUAAGAUCUCGGCUGUUUACCAAAAACAUAGCUCUCUGCUAAAGAUUACUGAAGUAUAGAGGGUGAAUUCUGCCCAAUGGUUGUAUAGUGAAACUGAGGACUAACGUCUAAAGCGAAACCCAACUGAAUGGCCGCGGUAACUCUGACCGUGAUAAUGUAGCACAAUAAAUAGCCAAUUAAUUGUUGGCGGGUAUGAAUGGAACCACGAGGGUCUUACUGUCUCAAGAGGAAAGCCGAUGAAAUUAUAGUUGUAGUGAAGAUACUACAUAAACAUUGUAAGACGAAAAGACCCUAUCGAGCUUUACUGGAUAUCGAUAACGUUAACUUAAAAUGAUCGAUACUAAGUAUCCUAAUUUUGAGUUAAUAAUUUUUGUUGGUAAGACAGUUUAGUUGGGGCGACUACCUUUGAAUAAGAAACGAAGGCGAGCUUAUGGUAUAUAAAGCUAAUCUCAUUAGCCUGACAGUGAGGGGGACACCCCUAGCUGGCACAAGGACUAUGUCCUAUGUGGGCGAUAAUGACCCGAUAUGAUAGUCCAAAAUAAAUAUCGAAAGCGGAUAAAAGCUACCGUAGGGAUAACAGCGUAAUAUUGUCGGAGAGUUCUUAUCGAGGACAGUGUUUGCGACCUCGAUGUUGAAUUGCGGUGCCCUGGUGCUGUAGAAGGUACCCUAGGUUGGUCUGUUCGACCAUGAAAACCGUACAUGAUUUGAGUUCAGAGCGUGGUGACACAGCUCGGUUUCUAUCUACCAUGUUCAAUCCCAACUUUUCUGAGUCCUAGUACGCAAGGAAUGGUCUCAGCGAUGCUCGACUAUAUUGGCCCCAUCGACGUAAUCAACUUCUGGCUGCUGCAAAGAAGGAAAACAAAAGGUUAAGGGAUUAAUAGGGU
rnacentral:rRNA from 1 species